rnacentral:rRNA from 1 species
CCAAUAGCGUAUAUUAAAGUUGUUGCAGUUAAAAAGCUCGUAGUUGAAUUUCGGGGUUAGUAGGUUGGUCAUGCCUCUGGUAUGUACUGGUCUCACUGAUUCCUCCUUCCUGAUGAACCGUAAUGCCAUUAAUUUGGUGUUGCGGGGAAUUUGGACUGUUACUUUGAAAAAAUUAGAGUGUUUAAAGCAAGCUAACGCUUGAAUACAUUAGCAUGGAAUAAUGAAAUAGGACGUUCGAUCCUAUUUUGUUGGUUUCUAGGAUUGACGUAAUGAUUAAUAGGGAUAGUUGGGGGCAUUAGUAUUCAAUUGUCAGAGGUGAAAUUCUUGGAUUUAUUGAAGACUAACUACUGCGAAAGCAUUUGCCAAGGAUGUUUUCAUUAAUCAAGGACGAAAGUUAGGGGAUCGAAGACGAUCAGAUACCGUCGUAGUCUUAACCAUAAACUAUGCCGACUAGGGAUCGGAUGAUGUUAAUUUUUUAAUGACUCAUUCGGCGCCUUACG